rnacentral:tmRNA from 1 species
GGGGAUGACAUGGCUUCGACGCCGGUUAUGAAACCCGCAGGGGCAUGCGGAGAGUGAGCCGCCUCUCCUAAAUCAACAGCUCAAAAAAUAGUCGCAAACGACGAAAACUACGCACUGGCCGCCUAAAAACCCGGCCUACGACCGAACCUGCAUGCCGGUAUGCGGGGGACGUCGGCGCAAAAAAUACCGGAUCGCCUCGUGACCUGCCGCGUGUCACGUCGCUAAAACCCUAGCGGAUCGCCUUCCACGCCCUGUCUCUCGGGCCGUGUCGGGUUAAAUCAGUAGAGAAGACUAAGCAUGUAGAACCGAGGGUAGAGUGCUGACGGACGCGGGUUCGAUCCCCGCCAUCUCCACCA